rnacentral:misc_RNA from 1 species
UACGGAGGAUCCAAGCGUUAUCCGGAAUCAUUGGGUUUAAAGGGUCCGUAGGCGGGUCGAUAAGUCAGUGGUGAAAGUCUGCAGCUCAACUGUAGAAUUGCCAUUGAUACUGGUUGUCUUGAAUUAUUAUGAAGUGGUUAGAAUAAGUAGUGUAGCGGUGAAAUGCAUAGAUAUUACUUAGAAUACCAAUUGCGAAGGCAGAUCACUAAUAAUAUAUUGACGCUGAGGGACGAAAGCGUAGGUAGCGAACAGG